rnacentral:rRNA from 1 species
GACGAACGCUGGCGGCGUGCCUAAUACAUGCAAGUAGAACGCACAGUUUAUACCGUAGCUUGCUACACCAUAGACUGUGAGUUGCGAACGGGUGAGUAACGCGUAGGUAACCUGCCUGGUAGCGGGGGAUAACUAUUGGAAACGAUAGCUAAUACCGCAUAAUAUUGAUUAUUGCAUGAUAAUUGAUUGAAAGAUGCUAUUGCAUCACUACCAGAUGGACCUGGGUUGUAUUAGCUAGUAGGUGAGGUAACGGCUCACCUAGGCGAAGAUACAUAGCCGACCUGGGAGGGGGGACGGCCACACUGGGACUGAGACACGGCCCAGACUUCUUCGGGAGGCAGCAGUAGGGAAUCUUCGGCAAUGGGCGAAAGUCUGACCGAGCAACGCCGCGUGAGUGAAGGAAGUUUUCGGGUCGGAAAGAUCUGUUGUAAGGGAAGAACGAGUGUGAGAGUGGAAAGUUCACGCUGUGACGGUAUCUAACCAGAAAGGGACGGCUAACUACGUG